ACGGGGUGGAGGUAACGCGUGGGUAACGUGCCUUGUACUGGGGGACAACAGUUAGAAAUGACUGCUAAUACCGCAUAAGCGCACAGUAUCGCAUGAUACAGUGUGAAAAACUCCGGUGGUACAAGAUGGACCCGCGUCUGAUUAGCUAGUUGGUAAGGUAACGGCUUACCAAGGCGACGAUCAGUAGCCGACCUGAGAGGGUGACCGGCCACAUUGGGACUGAGACACGGCCCAA
rnacentral:rRNA from 1 species